GAUGAACGCUGGCGGCGUGCCUAAUACAUGCAAGUCGAGCGAACGGACGAGAAGCUUGCUUCUCUGAUGUUAGCGGCGGACGGGUGAGUAACACGUGGAUAACCUACCUAUAAGACUGGGAUAACUUCGGGAAACCGGAGCUAAUACCGGAUAAUAUUUUGAACCGCAUGGUUCAAAAGUGAAAGACGGUCUUGCUGUCACUUAUAGAUGGAUCCGCGCUGCAUUAGCUAGUUGGUAAGGUAACGGCUUACCAAGGCAACGAUGCAUAGCCGACCUGAGAGGGUGAUCGGCCACACUGGAACUGAGACACGGUCCAGACUACUACGGGAGGCAGCAGUAGGGAAUCUGCCGCAAUGGGCGAAAGCCUGACGGAGCAACGCCGCGUGAGUGAUGAAGGUCUUCGGAUCGUAAAACUCUGUUAUUAGGGAAGAACAUAUGUGUAAGUAACUGUGCACAUCUUGACGGUACCUAAUCAGAAAGCCACGGCUAACUACGUG
rnacentral:rRNA from 1 species